rnacentral:rRNA from 1 species
AUUGAACGCUGGCGGCAGGCUUAACACAUGCAAGUCGAACGAGCGGCGGACGGGUGAGUAAUGUCUGGGAAUCUGGCUUAUGGAGGGGGAUAACGACGGGAAACUGUCGCUAAUACCGCGUACCAUAGGAUGAGCCCAAGUGGGAUUAGGUAGUUGGUGGGGUAAUGGCUUACCAAGGCGACGAUCCCUAGCUGGUCUGAGAGGAUGACCAGCCACACGGGGACUGAGACACGGUCCAGACUCCUACGGGAGGCAGCAGUGGGGAAUAUUGCACAAUGGGCGCAAGCCUGACGCAGCCAUGCCGCGUGAGUGAAGAAGGCCUUCGGGUUGUAAAGUACUUUCAGUGAGGAGGCGUUAAUCGCAGAAGAAGCACCGGCUAACUCCGUGCCAGCAGCCGCGGUAAUAC